rnacentral:rRNA from 1 species
GACGAACGCUGGCGGCGUGCCUAAUACAUGCAAGUAGAACGCAGUUGCGAACGGGGGAGUAACGCGUAGGUAACUGCCUGGUAGCGGGGGAUAACUAUUGGAAACGAUAGCUAAUACAGCAUACUACCAGAUGGACCUGCGUUGUAUUGGCUAGUUGGUGAGGUAACGGCGCACCAAGACAACGAUACAUAGCCGACCUGAGAGGGUGAGCGGCCACACUGGGACGGAGAAACGGCCCGGACUCCUACGGGAGGGAGCAGGAGGGACUCUGCGGGGAGGGGGGGAACCCUGACCGAGCAACGCGGCGGGAGUGAAGAAGGUUUUCGGAUCGUAAAGCUCUGUUGUUAAGGAAGCGGUACUUAACCAGAAAGGGACGGCUAACUACGUGCCAGCAGCCGCGGUAAUUC